rnacentral:lncRNA from 1 species
GUAAGAUCCUAGAUGGACACUUUGUUUCUCCCAUGGCCCACUAUGUGCCUGGUAUCAUGCCAAUUGAGUCUGUUAUUGCAAGGUUCCAGUUUAUCGUCCCUAAAGAAUGGAACAGCAGAUACAGACCUGUGUGCAUUCAUCUGGCUGGAACAGGAGACCAUGUAAGGCUUGUGACUUCAUAGGAUUUCAAACCUAGAAAACUCUUAGCACUUCUCCUCCGCAUGUGCCUGUCAUAUUGUUAAUGUGUCAUCUCUUCUUUCCAUAGCAUUAUUGGAGGCGCAGAACGCUCAUGGCUCGUCCCAUGAUUAAGGAGGCCAGAAUGGCUUCAUUGUUGCUAGAAAACCCUUAUUAUAUCCUUUUGUGAUACUUAAAACAUUUCUUUCUCUCUUUGUUUAUAUAUUUACUCUUCAAAAGAAGAACAUCCGGUGCUCUCAGCCAAUGAGCCAUCUCUCCAGCUCCCAUGGUAACUAACUUUUCAAAACUAGUUAAAUCCAGUUAUCAGUUCAGAAAAUUAUUAAAAAGCAAGAAUG